rnacentral:lncRNA from 1 species
GAGCUUUUGACACUUUAGCCAAAACAAUCACCCUUCUAGCGUGAGGUUGUUGGCUCUGAGGCUGGGUUGGAUCUUAAAUCUUAUUCUAAAGUCCCUUUUUUUUCCAUUCUCGAAGUUUCUAUUGUUUCCUUCAUUCUAUUUUCUUUCCUUCACCACAUCUUGAGGUGGUGUAUAUCCAGAUUGUGCCGGAGUUUUCCCAUUCUCCCUUGGUAGCAGUGACUCGAUGGUGAGAGUCUUGCUCGUUGGUUGCUCAUACGUAAUAUUUCUUUGGCUUGAUAGGGGAAUUGAAUAUCUCAUGACGCCAUUCGUUUGCGAACUCCUUCACGCGUUUCUCA